UACAGAGGGUGGCGAGCGUUGUCCGGAAUCACUGGGCGUAAAGGGCGCGUAGGCGGUCUCUUAAGCGUGUGGUGAAAGCCCGGGGCUCAACUCCGGGUCGGCCGUGCGAACUGGGGGACUGGAGCCUGUCAGAGGCAGGCGGAAUUCCGGGUGUAGCGGUGGAAUGCGUAGAGAUCCGGAAGAACACCGGUGGCGAAGGCGGCCUGCUGGGACAGUGCUGACGCUGAGGCGCGACAGCGUGGGGAGCAAACGAGG
rnacentral:rRNA from 1 species